UGGGGAAUAUUGGGCAAUGGGCGCAAGCCUGACCCAGCAACGCCGCGUGAAGGAAGAAGGCCCUCGGGUUGUAAACUUCUUUUGUCAGGGACGAAGCAAGUGACGGUACCUGACGAAUAAGCCACGGCUAACUACGUGCCAGCAGCCGCGGUAAUACGUAGGUGGCAAGCGUUAUCCGGAUUUACUGGGUGUAAAGGGCGUGUAGGCGGGACUGCAAGUCAGAUGUGAAAACUAUGGGCUCAACCCAUAGCCUGCAUUUGAAACUAUCGUUCUUGAGUGUUGGAGAGGCAGGCGGAAUUCCGUGUGUAGCGGUGAAAUGCGUAGAUAUACGGAGGAACACCAGUGGCGAAGGCGGCCUGCUGGACAAUAACUGACGCUGAGGCGCGAAAGCGUGGGGAGCAAACAGGAUUAGAUACCC
rnacentral:rRNA from 1 species